CUGGCGGCAGGCCUAACACAUGCAAGUCGAGCGGUAGCACAGAGAGCUUGCUCUCGGGUGACGAGCGGCGGACGGGUGAGUAAUGUCUGGGAAACUGCCUGAUGGAGGGGGAUAACUACUGGAAACGGUAGCUAAUACCGCAUAACGUCGCAAGACCAAAGUGGGGGACCUUCGGGCCUCAUGCCAUCAGAUGUGCCCAGAUGGGAUUAGCUAGUAGGUGGGGUAACGGCUCACCUAGGCGACGAUCCCUAGCUGGUCUGAGAGGAUGACCAGCCACACUGGAACUGAGACACGGUCCAGACUCCUACGGGAGGCAGCAGUGGGGAAUAUUGCACAAUGGGCGCAAGCCUGAUGCAGCCAUGCCGCGUGUGUGAAGAAGGCCUUCGGGUUGUAAAGCACUUUCAGCGGGGAGGAAGGCGUUAAGGUUAAUAACCUUGGCGAUUGACGUUACCCGCAGAAGAAGCACCGACUAACUCCGUGCCAGCAGCCGCGGUAAUACGGAGGGUGCAAGCGUUAAUCGGAAUUACUGGGCGUAAAGCGCACGCAGGCGGUCUGUCAAGUCGGAUGUGAAAUCCCCGGGCUCAACCUGGGAACUGCAUUCGAAACUGGCAGGCUAGAGUCUUGUAGAGGGGGGUAGAAUUCCAGGUGUAGCGGUGAAAUGCGUAGAGAUCUGGAAGAAUACCGGUGGCGAAGGCGGCCCCCUGGACAAAGACUGACGCUCAGGUGCGAAAGCGUGGGGAGCAAACAGGAUUAGAUACCCUGGUAGUCCACGCCGUAAACGAUGUCGAUUUGGAGGUUGUGCCCUUGAGGCGUGGCUUCCGGAGCUAACGCGUUAAAUCGACCGCCUGGGGAGUACGGCCGCAAGGUUAAAACUCAAAUGAAUUGACGGGGGCCCGCACAAGCGGUGGAGCAUGUGGUUUAAUUCGAUGCAACGCGAAGAACCUUACCUGGUCUUGACAUCCACAGAACUUUCCAGAGAUGGAUUGGUGCCUUCGGGAACUGUGAGACAGGUGCUGCAUGGCUGUCGUCAGCUCGUGUUGUGAAAUGUUGGGUUAAGUCCCGCAACGAGCGCAACCCUUAUCCUUUGUUGCCAGCGGUUCGGCCGGGAACUCAAAGGAGACUGCCAGUGAUAAACUGGAGGAAGGUGGGGAUGACGUCAAGUCAUCAUGGCCCUUACGACCAGGGCUACACACGUGCUACAAUGGCAUAUACAAAGAGAAGCGACCUCGCGAGAGCAAGCGGACCUCAUAAAGUAUGUCGUAGUCCGGAUUGGAGUCUGCAACUCGACUCCAUGAAGUCGGAAUCGCUAGUAAUCGUAGAUCAGAAUGCUACGGUGAAUACGUUCCCGGGCCUUGUACACACCGCCCGUCACACCAUGGGAGUGGGUUGCAAAAGAAGUAGGUAGCUUAACCUUCGGGAGGGCGCUUACCACUUUGUGGUU
rnacentral:rRNA from 1 species